AAUAGAUACCCCGGUAGUCCACGCCGUAAACGAUGAGUGCUAAGUGUUAGAGGGUUUCCGCCCUUUAGUGCUGAAGUUAACGCAUUAAGCACUCCGCCUGGGGAGUACGGCCGCAAGGCUGAAACUCAAAGGAAUUGACGGGGGCCCGCACAAGCGGUGGAGCAUGUGGUUUAAUUCGAAGCAACGCGAAGAACCUUACCAGGUCUUGACAUCCUCUGACAACCCUAGAGAUAGGGCUUCUCCUUCGGGAGCAGAGUGACAGGUGGUGCAUGGUUGUCGUCAGCUCGUGUCGUGAGAUGUUGGGUUAAGUCCCGCAACGAGCGCAACCCUUGAUCUUAGUUGCCAUCAUUAAGUUGGGCACUCUAAGGUGACUGCCGGUGACAAACCGGAGGAAGGUGGGGAUGACGUCAAAUCAUCAUGCCCCUUAUGACCUGGGCUACACACGUGCUACAAUGGACGGUACAAAGAGCUGCAAGACCGCGAGGUGGAGCUAAUCUCAUAAAACCGUUCUCAGUUCGGAUUGUAGGCUGCAAC
rnacentral:rRNA from 1 species